rnacentral:lncRNA from 1 species
AUGACCGAUUCAAAUUAUGGGAAAUUAACAGUUUAUUUAACUAUUAGUACGAUUCAUCUAUACUAUCAUACUAAUAUCUAUGCUAUAUAUACAUCUAUACUGUGUCCCAAAUUCCAGAAAUACAGCAUUUAGUUGUGGGUGGUAGAACGAAUCUUUUUAAUUGUCCAGCUUUUAGAGCGAAGGCCACACGCUGAGGCAGUAUUGCCAGGCCUGGUCCAGGGAGCAGCCUGUGACCUCAGCGCAUCCUCUAACCUCUGUGCCUUGGAGCAGCGCCUCUUGGGCUGCUCUGGGAUUAAAUUAAAUGAGUUAAUAUUUGCCAGGGGCAAACAGUUGCCUAUUUCAUAAGAAGUGCCUAGAUCCUAGUUCAUAUAUAAUUCUCUGUCCAACAAAAUGAAGAAUACUUCUAAAAUAAGGGGAAAAUGAAAUUAUUUUAAAAGCCUAUCUGACCAAAAACUAUCUGACAGCAUCAGAAAAGCCCAAAUAUGAUGCCCUGGGACUAUGUUGUUUCUCUUUUUUUUUUUUUCCCUUUUGUCUUUUUGUCUUUUAGGGCGGCACGUGCGGCACAUGGAGGUUCCCAGGCUAGGGGUCCAAUCGGAGCUGUAGCCACCGGCCUACGCCGAAGCUCAGGGCAACGCCGGAUCCUUAACCUGCUGAGCAAGACCAAGGAUCGAACCCACAUCCUCAUGGCUGCUAGUCAGGUUCAGUAACCGCUGAGCCACAACAGGAACUGCUGUUGUUGCUUUUUUCUAUUUUCCUUUCAGCAUGGUUUCCAGUUGGACUUCCCACUAUAGUUUAUAACCUUAACUACAAAGGCAUAGUUUAGGUUCAUGGGGUAAUUUUAUCAGGGGGCGGAGGGUGGGUGACCAAGUACCUCUGGCACAUUCACAUGCAAAGAGAUGCCCCCGAAGGGGUGACGGCCGAGACCAGCUCUGUUUCUGGUCCCAGGAUUCCCAGGCCCCGGCUCCACCCUCUGCACGUGCCCCAAGCUCCCCAGCACAUCUGCAUGAAAAAAGGAGCCUGUACGGCCUCUUGGGCAGGCCUCCAAGUUCAUUCUUCACCCGGAGCCAAGGCCGGCCCAGAGAGCAUUACCAUCCCAAAGGCCCGGCCUUUGUCAGAGGAGGAAGGGAUGGAAAUGCAGGGAGCAAGUGCUGGCUCAGCAGAGCCCUCCCUGCAGAGCGUCCUCCAGCUCCGCUCAUUGUUAUUCCAGCCAGGUGUCCGCUCGCCAGCCAACCCGGCGAGGAUGUCCACGCCGAGAUCAGAGAUAAUGCCCCCCACGAGAUUCCUCACCCCCCACCCCUCUAACUGGGGGAGGAGGGGAUGGGGCGGUCCAGGCAGAGGAGCUGACGGGUCGAGUUUGCAUGUAAAAGAACUGCCAGACGCCGGUCUCGGCCCCCCUCCUCCCUCCCAGCGAGGGAGCUUCUCCGGCUUCGUCCUCCCUGACAACUUGACCUUGGCAGAGGCCAAACACAAGCCCAGGCAGCAUCCCCAGCCAUUCCUCGCAUUCUGGGUGACUGAGCCCCGGGAGGCCGCAGGCAGCUCUGGAGCAGGGCUGAGGCGAGCAUGUGAGGCCAGCUGGACCAGGCCCUGGGCAAACCCCCCAUGCCAGCCCCCGGAGAGCCUCACCUUUCAGGCCAACAGCCCACACUCCCGCCCCCACUGCUGCCUGACAUCCCACGCCGGUGGGUCAGGGCAGGAAAGAAGAGGGGGGAGACUGGCCACUUGCCCUGCACAAGCAGCUUGGGGGGGGGGCUGUCAGCAGCAUCUGGGACACGUGUCCAGGACCGAUUGAGAAGGUUCCGGCCCCGAGCCCAGGCACAGCCAGCAUGCUGGCCGGAUGGGCUCAUCACCUGCGGUUACAGUGCACCUGCCAAGUGCUCCUGAGAUGCUUAAAGAAACCCAGAACUCCAACAGAGCCGCAAUGAAAACUUAAAGCAGCAAGGCAGGAGUGGGAGGGGUCCCUCCCAGCGCUGAACACACCGUGACGCCAUCCUGCCCAGACCUCCAGAACCAAAGGCGUGGCUGUCAGAGGGAGAGGUGAUGGUCAUUUGGUAUUUACAUAAGAUCUUUACCACACGCACCUCGGAACACCUGGUUACCCAAGCCAUCCCUUCCAGGCCACCAGGCAGGCCCUGGUAGACCCAGUCAUUGUUGAUCACACCCAAGUGCAGGGCUGUCCGCCAGCGCUGCACCCAAAAGGACAUUCCCCUCUGACACUCUGCAACAGGGCCACAUCCAUUCCUGGAGGCUCAAGGGAGGUUCUUGAUUCCUUGCCUCCUUCCCAGCUUCUAGAGGUUUCUUGUAUUCCUUGCCUUUCUUCUUUUUAGAGCUGCACCCAUGGCAUAUGGAAAUUACCUGGCUAGGGGUCAAAUUAGAGCUGCAGCUGCCAGUCUACACCACAGCCACAGCAAUACAGGAUCUGAGCCCCAUCUGUGACCUACACCACAGCUCACGGCAACGCCCCAGAUCCUUAACCCACUGAGUGAGGCCAGGGAUUGAACCCGCAUCCUCAUGGUUCCUAGUCGGGUUCCUUACCCACUGAGCCACAACAGGAACUCUCCUCUUCCCCCAUCUUCAAAGCGGCAAUGUUACUUCUGACAUUACAUCACCUCCUCUUCGGCCUCUUCCCUCCACUUUUAAGGGCCCUUGCAAGGAUGCUGGACCCACAGGAAAAUCCAGGAUAAUCUCCCUGUAUCAAGGUCAGCCUUCAUUCCACCUGCAAUCUUAUAUCCCUUUGGCCACAUAACAUGUAAUACUCACGGGUUCCAGGGACCAGGAUGUGAACCUCUUCGGGAGGCAGAGGGCAAUUAUUGGAUUAUCCUGCCAUCUACACUCACGUCUAUGCCAGGCCCCAGGCUGCUCUGUGCCCUCAGAGCCCCCAGAUGGUCACCUGUCACCUCCCCGACCCUGACCCCCACCGCUCUUGGCUGGUUCCAACCACCUCCCCAUCCCAAGGGUCUUCUUCCAACUUGUGGCGCAGUGACCCCUCCACCCCCCACCUCAUGCCCACUGCAGGGAUGAGGGAACAGUGGCAAAGGCACACCCGGGGUCACUGGGCUGAAGGAGCAGGCCUGGAUUCCAGCCAGCCUGCUCUCUACCGCCCCACACAGCUCCCGAGGACUCAGACCGGUCCAGGAUGUGGGGAGUCGAGCCUCCAGGCCGGGCCCCUUCCGGCACGGGGGCAUCCUGGCCACCUUCGUCUGGUGCCCUGGUGGCCCGAGGACCUCCAACGUGAAUUCUCACUGACUGGGCUGAGGAUUUCCCAAGGUCAAAAAUUUUCUGCCCAAUUCCACAUACAGAGGUUGGCGGGUAGAACACAAGUAAAGGCAAGAUCCGCUGGGCACUUGCUGAGUGCCAGGAACUGGCAUCCAGCGGCUACAUCUGCCCACAGCCCUGAGAGGAGGCCCAAUGAGUUCCCUUUCUCAAGAGGAGGCCAGGUCUCCAGAGAUGGGUUCCAGCUCACUCACACAGCAGGGAGUUGGCAGCGCCCCAUUCAGGCUGGCAGGCUCUCUCCCCUCCACCGCGAGGCCUCCCCCAUCCUUGCCCACCCAGGAAGCAAGCAUUCCCAGCCGGCCAGCACCAAGGAGAUCUCCUCUCUCCCGCCACCUGCAGCACCUCCUGCCAGCAGGCCGGGCCCUGGAUUGGUAGAACCGGAGUUCUUGGUUGGUUUCAUGCCUCAGCUUGUGACAAAGGAAGCUUCAGUCUCCUUCAGUGGCAGGUCACAAGAAGCCACGAGACCAUGCUGGGUGCAGGGCCUGGGUGCAGCCAAGCAGAGGGUGCCGCUGGCUGUCCCUGGGCACUCAGCCUGAAGCUGGUCCCAACCUUUCCCCUAGAUCCUGCUCUGUCCUCACGGAGCCAAAAUAACCCGGAGUGACUGAGGCCAGUGGGGCAGAGAGACAAGGCCCUGCCAUGCCAGCCAACCUUUGCUCUGCUCACCCAGACAACCCAGCCAAGUCCUGGCCACAAAUGCAAAGGGUCCUGGGGGAUUCAACUCAAAGGUGGUCCCACACACCUGGCCAGGCUCAGGGUCCACGCACGUGAUGUUACUGCUCGGGGCAUCCACUCCCAAGCCCGGCAAGAGAGACAGAAGGAACACACAGGACACAGUAAGAGACUCGCGUCUACAGCGGAAGCAGACAUGAAACAAAUGAUCCUGCAAACAUCCACCACGUUACAAACCACCACUGAAUAACCCGCCCACACCAGACCAGCAGUUAAUCAGGGGGUCCCAGUGGAGGUCUCUGAGGAGCAGACCUUUACAAUGACACCGGAAAGUUAGCAGGAUUUUUUAUUUUGCUUAUGAGGAAAGGAAGGAAGCAAGAAGGGAGACGCUCGCUGCCAAAUACCACUAGAGUAGGAAUAUUUAAAACUGGCAACAGCCCAGAUUAGGGAGACAGACCCCGCUGCAUUCACUUGCAAAGCAUGGUUUUGCUGCCCCAGUCAGAUGCAGAUUUUCAACCCAAUGUACCCAUAGAAAUGGAGGUGUCACUUCCAGGUGGGCACGCCUAACAAAGGGGUCCAGCGGGGCUCACAGGUCCCACCACCUGCAAAAUCCACAAAUCAAUCCAGACAGAUUUUACCAACUCCUGAGAAGAAAACUGCUAAAUGCACCAAAGGAAAUGAUCAGUUGACAAACCACAAACAGGCCAUACACAUGCCCAGUGGUCGAUUACAGAAGGACUCAAAGUAAGGCAAGGAGAGCCGUGGCUUUGUUCCCGAGGCUCUGCUGAUGGCAGAGCUCCAGGACCGCUCUGUUUUGUCUCCGGAAU